AGUGAACGCUGGCGGUAGGCCUAACACAUGCAAGUCGAACGGCAGCACAGUAAGAGCUUGCUCUUACGGGUGGCGAGUGGCGGACGGGUGAGGAAUACAUCGGAAUCUACUUUUUCGUGGGGGAUAACGUAGGGAAACUUACGCUAAUACCGCAUACGACCUACGGGUGAAAGCAGGGGAUCUUCGGACCUUGCGCGAUUGAAUGAGCCGAUGUCGGAUUAGCUAGUUGGCGGGGUAAAGGCCCACCAAGGCGACGAUCCGUAACUGGUCUGAGAGGAUGAUCAGCCACACUGGAACUGAGACACGGUCCAGACUCCUACGGGAGGCAGCAGUGGGGAAUAUUGGACAAUGGGCGCAAGCCUGAUCCAGCCAUACCGCGUGGGUGAAGAAGGCCUUCGGGUUGUAAAGCCCUUUAGUUGGGAAAGAAAAGCAGCAGGUUAAUACCCCGCUGUUCUGACGGUACCCAAAGAAUAAGCACCGGCUAACUUCGUG
rnacentral:rRNA from 1 species